rnacentral:rRNA from 1 species
CCUACGGGAGGCAGCAGUGGGGAAUAUUGCACAAUGGGCGCAAGCCUGAUGCAGUCAUGCCGCAUGUGUGAAGAAGGCCUUCGGGUUGUAAAGCACUUUCAGCGGGGAGGAAGGCGGUGAGGUUGAUAACCUCAUCGAUUGACGUUACCCGCAGAAGAAGCACCGGCUAACUCCGUGCCAGCAGCCGCGGUAAUACGGAGGGUGCAAGCGUUAAUCGGAAUUACUGGGCGUAAAGCGCACGCAGGCGGUCUGUCAAGUCGGAUGUGAAAUCCCCGGGCUCAACCUGGGAACUGCAUUCGAAACUGGCAGGCUAGAGUCUUGUAGAGGGGGGUAGAAUUCCAGGUGUAGCGGUGAAAUGCGUAGAGAUCUGGAGGAAUACCGGUGGCGAAGGCGGCCCCCUGGACAAAGACUGACGCUCAGGUGCGAAAGCGUGGGGAGCAAACAGGAUUAGAUACCCCUGUAGUC